rnacentral:rRNA from 1 species
GGCGAACGCUGGCGGCGUGCCUAAUACAUGCAAGUAGAACGCUGAAGGAGGAGCUUGCUUCUCUGGAUGAGUUGCGAACGGGUGAGUAACGCGUAGGUAACCUGCCUGGUAGCGGGGGAUAACUAUUGGAAACGAUAGCUAAUACCGCAUAAUAGUAGAUGUUGCAUGACAUUUGCUUAAAAGGUGCAAUUGCAUCACUACCAGAUGGACCUGCGUUGUAUUAGCUAGUUGGUGGGGUAACGGCUCACCAAGGCGACGAUACAUAGCCGACCUGAGAGGGGGAUCGGCCACACUGGGACUGAGACACGGCCCAGACUCCUACGGGAGGCAGCAGUAGGGAAUCUUCGGCAAUGGACGGAAGUCUGACCGAGCAACGCCGCGUGAGUGAAGAAGGUUUUCGGAUCGUAAAGCUCUGUUGUAAGAGAAGAACGAGUGUGAGAGUGGAAAGUUCACACUGUGACGGUAUCUUACCAGAAAGGGACGGCUAACUACGUG